rnacentral:rRNA from 1 species
UUCCAGACUCCUACGGGAGGCAGCAGUGGGGAAUAUUGCACAAUGGGGGAAACCCUGAUGCAGCAACGCCGCGUGAGUGAAGAAGUAUUUCGGCAUGUAAAGCUCUAUCAGCAGGGAAGAAAAUGACGGUACCUGAGUAAGAAGCCCCGGCUAACUACGUGCCAGCAGCCGCGGUAAUACGUAGGGGGCAAGCGUUAUCCGGAUUUACUGGGUGUAAAGGGGGCGCAGACGGCGAUGCAAGCCAGGAGUGAAAGCCCGGGGCCCAACCCCGGGACUGCUCUUGGAACUGCGGGGCUGGAGUGCAGGAGGGGCAGGCGGAAUUCCUGGUGUAGCGGUGAAAUGCGUAGAUAUCAGGAGGAACACCGGUGGCGAAGGCGGCCUGCUGGACUGCAACUGACGUUGAGGCCCGAAAGCGUGGGGAGCAAACAGGAUUAGAUACCCGUGUA